UACGGGGGGGGCAAGCGUUGUUCGGAAUUCCUGGGCGUAAAGGGCUUGUAGGUGGCCAACUAAGUCAGACGUGAAAUCCCUCAGCUUAACUGGGGAACUGCUUCUGAUACUGGAUGGCUUGAGUUUGGGAGAGGGAUGCGGAAUUCCAGGUGUAGCGGUGAAAUGCGUAGAUAUCAUUUGGAACGCCAAUGGUGAAAACAGGCAGCUGGGGAAGUGCUGACGCUGAGACACGAAAGCCAGGGGAGCGAACGGG
rnacentral:rRNA from 1 species